CGGAAGCCAUGAUCCUUACCCAGACACAGGCCAGCGAGCCAGCUUCUGCAGGUGCUGGAAGGAGGUUCUGCCGCGGCUUCCAUUCGUCCCCCUAUGAAUCGCCUACAUCAGGGCUCCAGGCAGCUGAGAUCACAGUUCACAGGCCUACAGAUCAAGAGGAACUGUACAGGAGGAGCUGUAUUUGAGAAAGUCAUCCAAGGAGCCUCAUCUGAGCCUGGACGUGAUUAGAUAACAAGACCCAGGACUUCAAGCUGAGGCUUCGAUGGAAUGAGACUUUGGGGGACCUUGGAAAGGGGACGAAUCCCCAGAAAUGAAACUGUUGCAUCAUGAGCAUGUGUAUUCCCCUUGAUUAGCUUUCUCUGCUUCUCAGACAUGCAGCUGAAGAAGGCUACCUCUCACCUGCCUCAGCGCCAGCAACCAAAGGAGACAAGCACCUGUGAGUCCCAAUUCUAAAUUCCCACAGAUAGAAUCUGAUUGGCCCGAUUUGGGUCAGAUAUCCACCCUAAUCAAAUUCUCUGUGACUGGUUGGGGGAGCUGGGAGCCGGAGGACAGGUUCAGGCCCAGCUCCAUGAAAUUGAGAACA